UUGUAAACGUUCAAGUCGAUUAUGUCUUACAUAUGGUGGUAGUCGAUUAUUUGGAGUCGCCUUUCUGCUGCCGAAAACUACCGGUUGGUGAAUUUUCAUACACGUUUUUAGAACAGCGUUUUUGCAAAUAUAAAAGUGACCACCUUACAUACAAUACAUAAACAGUUAGACUUCACAGACGAGCAAGUGCAGCGGAAGAUGUGUGUUGAAGAGCUGGUUUUUAGAAACGAAGGCAAGUAUGCGCGUAUUUCUACCAU